rnacentral:lncRNA from 1 species
GCCACAGGCAGCCUCCUACUGGUUGUUAUUUUGGGUGCUGGAAAGCCUGCCUGUCCUGAAAUAUCUCUCCCUGCCGUCUUGCCAGGUUCUCUAAUUCCCACCACGAGAGCCAUCCUCUAGUUAAAGGCAUUGUGUCUCCAGGAGGCCCGGGUUACAGGGCAGCCACCCAUAGGCAACGCCACACAUUUAACCCAUAAUUGCCCAUCAGCCCAGAACCUGGCUGCAGAGAAAAGCUACCAGCUGUUGGUAACCGAACACUGCCUUGCUAAGAGAAGCUUUUUGACAGCCUCUUCACAUAAGUGGGGGAAAUGGGUGCCGCAAAGCUCUGGAUCAGGAGUGUAAUGGCUUCCAUGGGAGCGGCCAAAUUGCUGCAGUGAUGGCAUCUCAGCUUUCUCCUCCCAGGGCAUGGGCCAGUUAGACUUCGGAUACUGAGAGGAAUGUGGAAAUGCAAAUGGCACCAAGGAAGUGCACAUAAGUUCAUGGAUGAUGGAUCCAAUGUGGAAUCAGGGAACGCUUGGGUCACACCCUUAACCAGGCCUUAUCUCUGAGGGAAGAAGACAACUGCCUAUCCAGCUUGAGCUGAUGUCCUCCAACAUCCUGUCACUGAUGGUGGAAACUUUACAUUGUAUUGCUCAGGACCAUGUUUGGAUGCAAAUAACAUAAUACCUGAUAGAGAUUUUUUGCUGUGGUCUGAAGAAUUCUUGAAGUAGAUAUUGUACUGAGUCUUCAGCUGGUGAGAGGAUGAGGAGACAUAUCAAGUCAUUACCCUCAUGGAGUUUACAAAUAAAUAAACAUAUAAUAUGUCGGACUGGAUGAGUCGAUUCUGGGAGUGAGAGCAGAUAAAGAAAAAGCAUGAGGACUAAAGCUCAGGGCCUUCACUAUUUGGAAUUCUGGGAGAUGAGAAGGAAUCAGAAGAGAAUGCUGAGAAGGGCCGACCUGGGAAGAUGAUGGAGACUGAAGAGGAAACGGCAUCCUGGGUACGAAGUGAAUAAAUGUUUCAAAAAGGUGGGACUAAUCAGCCAUGCCACAUGAUUCCGAUCAGAAGACUGAGAACUGACCAUUGGAUCUAGCAAAUGGAGAUUACUAGCGACUUUGACAGGAGCUGUUUAGGGGGAGUAUUGGAUUUGAGAGAAAACAGGAAAGGAGGAGAUGAAGAGAGAGUAGAGACAACUCUGUGAAUUUUGCUAUGAAAAGUAACAGAGAAACCGAGAGGAAGUAUGAAGUGAAGGCAGACAUUUUAAAAGAUGGGUAAUAUUUAGCAUAGUGGUAUACUGAUGAGAAUUAUCUCAUCAAGUGGGAAAAUUUAUGUAAGAG